rnacentral:rRNA from 1 species
GAUGAACGCUAGCUACAGGCUUAACACAUGCAAGUCGAGGGGAAACGAUAUUGGAAGCUUGCUUCCGAUAGGCGUCGACCGGCGCACGGGUGAGUAACGCGUAUCCAACCUGCCCAUCACUUGGGGAUAACCUUGCGAAAGUAAGACUAAUACCCAAUGACGUCUCUCGCAGACAUCUGAAAGAGAUUAAAGAUUUAUCGGUGAUGGAUGGGGAUGCGUCUGAUUAGCUUGUUGGCGGGGUAACGGCCCACCAAGGCGACGAUCAGUAGGGGUUCUGAGAGGAAGGUCCCCCACAUUGGAACUGAGACACGGUCCAAACUCCUACGGGAGGCAGCAGUGAGGAAUAUUGGUCAAUGGGCGAGAGCCUGAACCAGCCAAGUAGCGUGCAGGAAGACGGCCCUAUGGGUUGUAAACUGCUUUUAUAAGGGAAUAAAGUGGGAGUCGUGACUCCUUUUGCAUGUACCUUAUGAAUAAGGACCGGCUAAUUCCGUGCCAGCAGCCGCAGUAA